rnacentral:tRNA from 1 species
GAGGUUGUGGCUUAAGGGGUAGAGCACUCACCUAGCAUGUGUGAGGCACUGGGUUCGAUCCCCAGCACCACA